GAGAAAAAGUCAUUUCCUUGUCUCAUUGGUCAUUGUUCCCUAUAUGCCUAGGAUGUCUAUGUGGGGACAACUGAAAAUGGAGGGAGAAUUCCAGCACAGAAGACAAUAUUUAAAUAAGAGGAAAGCAGGAUAAGUUCAGUGUUUUCUUGACAAGCAGUCCACCCAUGUGAAAAUCUACUUCCCAAUGCAGUUUUGGAGGCAUUCACCUGCCUGGUAGGUUGGAUAAUAAACAAAUGUCCAUCAUG